UUAGCCGAUGUGCAAGGAGUUCCGGUUCGAGAUGAUAUUGAGGAUAUCAUUAAUGGCGAAAAUAUCACUGGUGCUGGCCGGCUGACUGGC
rnacentral:tRNA from 1 species